rnacentral:lncRNA from 1 species
GGCCGCACGGUGCUCGUCACGAAAUUGCUGGGGCGCAUGAGAAGGAACAAGGUUCACGAGUAGACUGUACGAGGCCGAUCCUGCUCAUCUACUACACCGAUCCUGCUCUCAAAGAGCCCGGCCAUCUCUGAACACUUGCGCCCUGGACACCUGCCUGCAGCCUGCACGAACGCACGGCAGCGAACAGCCUGGCAGCCAGCAAUCACCCGCCGAAAGCCAGCGA